GUGGGGAAUCUUGCGCAAUGGGCGAAAGCCUGACGCAGCCAUGCCGCGUGAAUGAUGAAGGUCUUAGGAUUGUAAAAUUCUUUCACCGGGGACGAUAAUGACGGUACCCGGAGAAGAAGCUCCGGCUAACUUCGUGCCAGCAGCCGCGGUAAUACGAAGGGGGCUAGCGUUGCUCGGAAUUACUGGGCGUAAAGGGCGCGUAGGCGGACAGCUUAGUCAGAGGUGAAAGCCCAGGGUUCAACCUUGGAAUUGCCUUUGAUACUGGCUGUCUUGAGUGUGGGAGAGGUGAGUGGAACUCCGAGUGUAGAGGUGAAAUUCGUAGAUAUUCGGAAGAACACCAGUGGCGAAGGCGACUCACUGGCCCAAUACUGACGCUGGGGCGCGAAAGCGUGGGGAGCAAACAGGAUUAGAAACCCCGGUAGUCC
rnacentral:rRNA from 1 species